GAUUCUACACAGAUUACGCCGGACUUACUACCACCCUUUGGCCUGAGGACUUUUUCAGAGAUGGUGCCUUCACUUACCUCUCACCAGGCCUUGGGGACUAUAAUCAUGCAUAUUGCCAGAGUUCUGACAGUCCCCAUGGCAAGACCCCUGUGCACCUCUGCUGGCACAAACUACAGAACUGAGUGCUGAAAUGAGGUAUGCUUGAUCUCAGAAGAUAGAUGUUUUCCACCUGCUCAGCUACACCAAACACAGUGAAUGCAGCUGGAGUGCUGGCAGAGAAAUGCAGAUUCAAAUCUUGAGUACAGCACAAAUAAUGACACCUUUAUGAAGUCUUUCAUGUCUGCUAAUGGCACCAACCGUACUGAACCAUUCCCAGUUAGCUGCAGGGCACAGAACUAAGGUUGCAUUGCAGGCGCAGUGUGCUACUUAACUUAUUUCCUGGUUUUCAGAGAAUUAAGUUUAAUCAAUCUCCAGGUUCUGGAAAUGCAUGGGCAACCUUAACUUAAAAACCUCAGUUUUUUAGACAAUUAGUCGAAAUUAAGUUGGCUACUUUGCACAUAUUUGUUCUUCAAACAGAAAUAUUAAAAUAUGAUUUAACAUCUCUGAAUUAUCUGUCUUCCAUACAUGAAUAGUCAGAAUUCAUGUUACGCUAACAAAACCUGCCAUCUUAAAUUAACUCUUUAAAAAAUGUAGGGAAGGAAACCCCUUCACCACCACACACUAGCCAAUACCAUUUCAGGCUUAGCUCCCUUCCUCUUCCUCCAUCACAUAGACAAUGUUAAUCUUUACAUAGCUGAACAUGCAAGUAUUAAAUACUCAUCUUGCAUUGUAGCAGCAUCUAGAUGCCUCAAUCAGAAUUGUGGCCUCACUGUGCUAGGUGAUGUAUGAACACAUUAUUAUGGUAAGGAUUCUCUUAGGCAGUGGUUCACAACUUUUUCCAGUAAGGAAGCCCAGGGUCAUUUCCCAACUACCUGGCAAGUGGAAUCCCCCUCUUGUUUCAAUACAAGAAGGGCACAGUGGUUGUGACCUGUGACACCUAUGUGUGAACCCUUCUGUAGCAUCGCAACACCCAGAUUGAGACUCCUUGGCCUAAAAAAAAAACUUUGCGGUGGGCUUGAAGGCUAAGUCAUGGUGUGGCUACUUGAAUGUGUGAUUAGUGGAGCGACAGCAUGCUUGCUACAAUCUGCAAAGCUAGAAGUAGCUGGCCUCUGGAGGAAUUCCUACUCCUACCUCCUAAUGUGGUAUUGGAAAGGGCCCGGCAGAUCUGGAGAUACUAUCUUAGUGAAGGAGGGGUGUAAGCUUUGCAAUGUUCUGACGUGGAUGUUCUUACAUGCUCUCCUCCCUGGCUGCUGUUCUUCUAUUACUCUCAAGGGAACGCGUACCCUGGGAAGGACACACCAUUUAAGAACAGAAUCAGUUGGGCUGGAGAUCUUAACAAGAAAGAUGCAUCUGUCAGCAUAGCAAAUGUGCAGUUCCGGGACAACGGCACUUACUUCUGCCAUGUCAAGAAACCAGCUGACAUACUUGUCAAGCCAGGAGAAAUCCGACUUAGAGUUGUGCAGAGAGAUGCUUGGUUCCAUGCUGUUUAAAUUUCAGAUGAUGGAAGUCACUCCUCUCCUAACAGGAACUAAACAUGCAGGGAUUUUGAAGGGGUCUAAUGAAGACCUGUGGAUUGUCUGUAUGUUAAGGCUAUUACCGGUCUGAGAGCACAGGACAGUAGAAAUCAUCAAACUGUUACAACUUCCUAAAUAGUUAUUACAAGAAACUGUGUCAAAAGUUUAACAGGUUUACAAAUCAUUUUCAUCCAAAAUGAAACACUCAUCAUUACAAACUGAGCUAAUCUCUGUUUAGAGAAACAUUAUGCAGUAAUAUAAUUAAAUCUCUCAAUUUAGCAGGGUGUUAUAUUAUAGGUGACACAAAGGGGUUUUAUGUAUCUCUCUGAGCUACUCUAAGGCUUCCAUGAACCCACUUCCCCCUUUCAGUUCAAACCACUUCCUAAUGUGGGCUUGUGACUUUUGACAUGUAAAAUUGAUGUGGGAUGCAACUAUUGAAUUGAUCCUGAUGAAAUCAUGGAGUGAAAUCCUUUAUUUCAUUAAAUAAAUUAAGGCUGGAAGAA